rnacentral:lncRNA from 1 species
GGCGCCGGGCGGGCACACUGGACCAGCGUUCCCAGAACACUCCGCGAAGGUGUUCCUGAACUUCAUUUCCCAGAGGCUUUAGCUAACGUGUACUUUCGCCCUGCGAUGGGCCGCACAUUUUCGCCGCCAGUCUUUUGCUCCUGUUUCAGGCAAAACUUGGAAGCAGCCAGAUGUCCUUCAGUACAUGAAUGAAUACAUAAACUAUGGUACAUUCAGACAAUGGAACAUUCAGUAAGGAAAAGAAAUGAGCUAUCAAGCUACCAAAAAGGAAGAACAGAAGAAUAUUAAGUGCGUAUUGACGCUUUCCUUCUGCAGACUGCCUUUCCUGACAAGAACAGACUCAGACAGUCUGUAGAGUGGUUCCGCCCCGAAGCUGAAAAAUAGUGUACAAAGCUGUCACGAAGUUUCCACUGCACAGCUCCAAUGUUCCAUUUGCUCUGGCGACAGAUCUUUCGGUGACCUUCGAAAGCGACAUCGAGAUUGACGAUGUAUAAGAAUCUGCCGCCAGAAAGCACUGCAUGUUGCCCAAGACAGUCACAGACAUCGCAGUUGCCUGGGAGUCACGAAACUCUACCACUACGUUCUCGCUGCUCCAUCGCGCCGCCAUCUCCCACUCUCGGCCGCCAAGGCCCCAGGACCGCGCCCUCCCAUCCACCAGACCCGGGUCCCCUGGCCCUCUGAGCCCUACACAGCCCGCGAGUCAGCCCUGACACGUCCAGUCCCCUGCUUCUUUGUGUUUUGAUAGAAAACAAAACAAAACAAAACAAAACAAAAACAUCUUGCCAAUCCAUUUGGCUUAUAAAAUAAUGUAUUGUGCACAUUUAUUAUAAUGAUAAUAAUUACAUAAGAAGUAAUUUGGGAGAAUGGGGUCCAAAAUCAGCUAUAGUAUAGUCAUGAGGGUUGCACCUGGAAGAGACUGCCUCUCUGAUGUUCAAAGUUUGAGAAUUAGUCCUUAAUGAAUAAAUGUAUAUAAUGCAAUUUUGAAGUUUAUACUUUCCUUGUUUGAACAGGAUAGAAUCAGCACUAAACAGAAACCAGUACAAUUCUCAAUAACAAAUUAUCUCAGUAGAGGUCCAAUAACCCUGUGAUAAAUAUGCGCCUGUUCUUCUCCACUGUCUGACCUACUUAUGUCUGCAUCAAGUAUCCCCAAACUGCUCUGUCAGGAAUAUACACCCGAAGAGCCCUCUGAGAACUGGUUUAACUAGUAUUUUGGCUUGUUUUGGGUGCACCUGUGACCUAAUUUACAAGACCAAGAUUAAUUAAAUGUUCAUGCACAAUUAAAAG